UACGUAGGGAGCAAGCGUUGUCCGGAAUCAUUGGGCGUAAAGCGCGCGUAGGCGGCCCCGUAAGUCCGCUGUGAAAGUCAAAGGCUCAACCUUUGAAAGCCGGUGGAUACUGUGGGGCUAGAGUCCGGAAGAGGCGAGUGGAAUUCCUGGUGUAGCGGUGGAAUGCGCAGAUAUCAGGAGGAACACCAAUAGCGAAGGCAGCUCGCUGGGACGGUACUGACGCUAAGGUGCGAAAGCGUGGGGAGCGAACAGG
rnacentral:rRNA from 1 species